rfam:Chryseobacterium indologenes NBRC 14944 DNA, contig: CIN01S13.
GUUCCAUUAGCAUAGGGGUAAGUGCAUUCGGCUUUCUACCGGAAGACAAAGUUCCGAUCCCCUUAUGGAAUA